rnacentral:tRNA from 1 species
GAAGGUAUAGCUCAGUGAUAGAGCGUUUGCUUAGCAUGCAUGAGAGCCUGGGUUCAAUCCCCAGUACCUUCA